rnacentral:tRNA from 1 species
CCCCCAGUGGCAGAAAUGGUUUGCACUUGGCUGCUAACCUAAAGGUUGGUGGUUAGAAUCCAUCCAAUGGGU